GCAUUGGUGGUUCAGUGGUAGAAUUCUCGCCUGCCACGCGGGAGGUCCGGGUUCGAUUCCCGGAGAAUGCA
rnacentral:tRNA from 1 species